UAAUUUGUCCAGAAGGGUGACUCUCACAAGUGAGUAUAUCGUUAUUUCAGCCGAAACUUUUUGGGAAUGGCUGUAUGAGUAAGGCUAAAACAGAUGCCCAUGGCAGGGUUAUUCUGUAACAAACUAAUUUUCAGAUGAUGUCUAACAUGAAGUAUGCAACUAUGUACAGUAGCACCUGUCAUACAUUUAAAUGCCAUAAUGAAUGUGGAAAAUUUACAGAUGAGCUCAAACUUUUCAACUUUUCGUUACGCCUUAUCCUAUACCCAUUAACUAUUAAGGUUAUCCAGCAAUGUAUUUCCUAGUUAAUCGUUUUGUUGUGGACAAAACGUUGAGAAAUGAAGCCUGGGGUCGGUGAUUGCGUGUCUGGUGGAAGGGAGAGCACUCCAUUGCUCACUAACGGCCCGACUUCCGGUUAGCACGAGGAGCCCAGCAAAGGUCAGCGAUCCUAUUGUGGCGACAUGGGAGCCAACAAACCAGUCCAGUUUGUCAAAUCACUGUACACCGACCCAUUCCGAUGGUCAGUUGUAAAGAGUGUUGCAUUAUUUGCCCUUGCUGUGUAUGUUGCACGAGAGAUGGCAGCAGCUGAACAAGCAGCUCAGUUGUCACCAUCCUGAUGGAAGACAGAAGCCAGACAAGGAGUUCAUGACUGUAGUGCCUGGUUGGCAGCACAUCCUGAUGAACAUAGAUCUGUCAUAACAAAGUUAUUCCACCGAAUUGUACAUUUGCAAAUUUGGCCAUGCUGUUAUCACGAACAUCUUUUGGAAUUAAAAUGUUUCAUUUUGUGUAACUGUCA